CGAAGGAUCCAAGCGUUAUCCGGAUUCAUUGGGUUUAAAGGGUGCGUAGGCGGGUUUAUAAGUCAGUGGUGAAAGCCGAUCGCUUAACGAUCGAACUGCCAUUGAUACUGUAGACCUAGAGUACAGAUGACGUUGGCGGAAUAUGACAUGUAGCGGUGAAAUGCAUAGAUAUGUCAUAGAACACCGAUUGCGAAGGCAGCUGACAAAACUGUAACUGACGCUGAUGCACGAAAGUGCGGGGAUCAAACAGGAUUAGAUACCCUGGUAGUCCGCACAGUAAACGAUGAUAACUAGUUGUUUGCGAUAUACAGUGAGCGACCAAGCGAAAGCGAUAAGUUAUCCACCUGGGGAGUACGCUCGCAAGAGUG
rnacentral:rRNA from 1 species